rnacentral:rRNA from 1 species
GAUGAACGCUAGCGGGAGGCCUAACACAUGCAAGCCGAGCGGUAUUGUUUCUUCGGAAAUGAGAGGGCGGCGUACGGGUGCGUAACACGUGUGCAACCUGCCUUUAUCUGGGGGAUAGCCUUUCGAAAGGAAGAUUAAUACUCCAUAAUAUAUUGAACGGCAUCGUUUAAUAUUGAAAGCUCCGGCGGAUAGAGAUGGGCACGCGCAAGAUUAGCUAGUUGGUGAGGUAACGGCUCACCAAGGCGAUGAUCUUUAGGGGGCCUGAGAGGGUGAUCCCCCACACUGGUACUGAGACACGGACCAGACUCCUACGGGAGGCAGCAGUGAGGAAUAUUGGUCAAUGGGGGCAAGCCUGAACCAGCCAUCCCGCGUGAAGGACGACUGCCCUAUGGGUUGUAAACUUCUUUUGUAUAGGGAUAAACCUACCCUCGAGAGGGUAGCUGAAGGUACUAUACGAAUAAGCACCGGCUAACUCCGUG